UCAGCGGAGCCGGGGGUAGCACCCGCGCCCCGCCUACCCCGGCCCCCCGAUCCUGGAGCCGCUGACCCGCCGAGUGACCUCGGGCCAGUCACGGCACCUCUCCGCGCCUCGCCUUCCCGCUCUGCAAAGUGGGAGCAAUGUUAUUUGGCCGACUCAAUGGGACUGCUUGUAAAGCUCUCGGCACGGGGCCUGGCAUCCAGUAGGCGCUCCAGAACAGCGGCUAUUUUUAUUAUUAAUUAAGGAGUAACGAAGGUGACAGCUGUGUAAACUGUAAAGCGCUGCGCCUGAACGAACGGGUAUUAUUAGCACCCGCCCCCGCCCCAGCUACUCCCUCCAAGACAACAAACUUGAGCCUUUGUGGGCGGGACGCCGAACCGGGAGCUCCCCUUAUCUGAAAAAAAGGAGACAUGGAGUCUCAAUAGAGUUGAAACCAACUGGCAUCCGCUUGUAUAGAGUGAGUGAAUGUGCAGCAAUCGUGCCCCUGGGUCACAGCCGUAAGAGCCCUUGUCCUCUACUCUGACGCUUCAUGGACUGGCACGUGAUGAAGAUCCUGGGAUGCGUCCACCUCUUGGUAUUAUGAAGAAUGCUAUUACGAACAUGGAUGCACAAAUAUCUUUUGAGGCUCUUGCUUUCAAUUCUUUCAUAUAUCCAGAUAUGGAUGAGCUGGAUCAUAUGGUUCAGCCUUUUUUGUGUCUAUGAAUCUGAAGCGUGAGUCAUGCAAAGAGUGGAUAGUUGGGGUGCCUGGGUGGCUCAGUCCAUUAAGCAUCCGACUUUAGGUCAGGUCAUGAUCUCACAGUUUGUGAGUUCAAGCUGUCUGCUGUCAGCACAGAGCCUGCUUUGGAUUCUCUGUCUCUCUCUCUCUCUCUCUCUCUGCCCCUCUCAUGAGCUCUUUCUCUCUCAAAAAUAAAUAAACAUUAAAAAAAAGAGUGUAUAGUUGGACAAUGAUUUUUUUAUCUGCCAAUCUUUGCAUUUUUAUUGGAGAAUUCAAUCUAUUUAUAUAUAAUGUAAUUACUAAUAACAGGUUUUACACCUGCAAUUUUGUUUUAUAUAUGUAUUUUGGUUUUUUUGUUCCUCUAUUUCUCCUUUACUCCCUUCUUUUGUGUUUGAUAGAUAUUUUUAAAUGUACCCUUUUAAUUACUUUGUUGUUUCUUUUAUUAUAUUUUUAUAAUUUUUUCUUAAUAGUUGCUCUGGGGUUGCAAUUAACAUCAUAAUUUAUAAGAAUCUAGUUCAGAUUAAUACUGAGUUUCAAUAAUGUUCAAAAUUUUACUCCAAUAUAGUUUCAUUCUUUCUCAUACUCCUUUGCUGUAUUAUUAUAUAAAUUACAUUUUUAUACACUAUGACCAUAUCAGUACCAUUUUAGGGGCGCCUGGAUGACUCAGUUGGUUGAGCAUCAGACUUCACCUCAAGUCAUGAUCUCAUGGUUUGUGAGUUUGAAUCCCGCAUCUGGCUGUCAGCGCAGAGCCCACUUCAGAUCCUCUGUCCCCGUCUUUCUCUGCCUCUCCCCUACUUGUGCGCUCUCUCGCUCUCUCUCUGAAUAAAAAAAAAAAAUACCAUUUUAUAGUUAUUGCUUCAUGAAGCUAUCUUUUCCCAUUAGAUAGGAUAAGAAAAGAGUUACAACAUAAAAACAUUUAUACCGUAUUUUCUAUUUCUUUAUGUAGUAACUUUUACUGGUGCUCUUUAUUUCUUCAUGUGGAUUCAACUCACUGUCUGGUGUUCUUUCAUUUCAGCCUAAAGGGCAAUCAUUAGUAUUUCUUGUAGGGAAAGUCUGCUAGUGACAAAUUCUCUCAACUUUGGUUUAUUUGUGUAUGUCUUCAUUUCUCCUUUGAAGAAUCAUUUUUUUGGUUAUAAAAUUCUGGGCUGACAGUCUUUUUCUUUCAUUACUUUGAAUAUUUCAUCCCAUUGCCUCCUGGACUUCAUAGUUUCUAAAUGAGACAUUAACGGUUGAUCUUAUUGAGGAUCCUUUAUAAAUGAUGAGUCGGUUUUCUAUUGUUGCUUUCAAGAUUCUCUCUUUAUAGUCCAAUAGUUUGACUCUGAUGUGUUCAAGUGUGAAUUUCUUUGAGUUUCUCUUACUUGGAGGUCACUGAACUUAGACAUGUAGAUUAAUUUUUUUAUUUAAAAUGUGAGUGGUUUUGGUCUUGAUUUCUCCAAUUAUUUAUGCUCUUAUUCUCUUUCUACUCCUUCUAGGACUCCCAUUGUGCAUAUUCUGGUAUGCUUGAUGGUAUUCCCACAUGUCCCUGUGUUCUGUUCAUUCUUCUUCAUCCUGUUUGUUUUUAAGAAUGGGCAAUUUCUGGGGUGCCUGGGUACCUCAGUCCAUUAAGUGUCUGACUCUUGAUUUUGGUUCAGGUCAUGAUCUCACUGUUCGUGGGUUCAAGCCCCACAUCAGGCUCUGUGCUGACAGUAUGGAACCUGCUUAGGAUUCUCUCCCUCCCUCUCUGUCCUUUCCCCACUCAUGUGCUCAUGCACGCUCUCUCUCUCUCUGUGUCUCAAAAUAAAUAAGUAAACUUAAAAAAAAAUGGACAAUUUCUAUUUCCAAGUCUGUAGAUUCUUUCUUCUACCCCUUCAAAUCUACUGCUGAGUACCUACAGUAAGAAACUGUUUUAAAUUCAGACUUUACUUUUCCUUAAAAAAGGAGCUUAGGGUUCACAACAAAAUCAAGGAGAAGGUAUAGGGAUUUCCCAUAUACCCCCUGCCUCCAGACAUGCAUAUCUUCCUGCAUUAUAACAUCCCCAACCAGAGUAGUAUGUUCGUUACAACUGAUAAACCUACAUUAACGCAUCUUAAUUACCUGAAGUGCAUGGUUUAGAUUACAGUACCCUUUUGGUGUUGUACAUUCUUUGGGUUUGGACAAAUAUAUCAUAGCACGUGUCAUUAUUAUACAGAUUAUUUUCAUUGCCCUAAAAACACCCUUUUCUCUGGGGCACCUGGCUGACUCAGUAGAGCAUGUGACUUUUGAGAUUGUAAAUUUGAGCCCCACGUCAGAUGUACAGAUUACUUCAAAAAAAUAAAGUCUUAAAAAAAAAAAAAAACACCUCUCUGCUCUGCCUAUUUAUCCCUCCUUCUCCCCAGCCCCCAACAACCACUGAUCUUUAUAAUGUCUCCUAGUUUGCACCUUUUCCAGAAUGUCAUAUAGUUGGAAUUAUAUAGUCUGUAGCCUUUUCAUGUUGGCUUCUUUCACUUAGUAAUAUGCAUUCAAGGUUCCUCCAUGUCUUUUCAUGGCUUGAUUAUUCAU